rnacentral:tRNA from 1 species
GUCUAGCUGGCUCAGUUGGUAGAGCAUUGACUCUCGAUCUUAAGGUUGUGAGUUCAAGCCCCACAUUGGGCG